CAGGGAAGGCCUCCAGCGAGGAGUGCUGAGAUCACCGCAUCCUCAUUUGCCCUAUCUUGGUUUUAUUUCUCGGGGCUGUUCAACGAGAAAAUUCUUUCGAAGAGUCAGCUCUAGGCUCAGCACCAGGCUGGGUGUCAGGAGGCAGAGAUAAGAGUCCUGGUUGCUGCUUCAAUGAGGCCCAGACUCAGAGAAGCAGACAGUGUUACAACACCAAGCCGGCCAUAUGGGAGCGAUAAGCUGAGGGAGUGAACAGGCCCUGGGGACACAUCUGUCCAGUCCGGUGGAGUGUAUGCUGGGCUGACACACCUUCCUGGCCGACUGUGAAAGGAAGUGGAGGCGUGGGCCUCGAAUCGGGGAAGGUCUGGGCCAGGAGCAACAGCUAACUGCUCCCUGACCCUGGGCCCCCACAAAAGGUGAGCAGCAGUAUUCAGGAUUUCAUCGACUUGCCAAAGCUGUUCUGCCAUUGGAGAUGGCCAAUGCCACCCAUUGGUGAUACCAACUGGAACCCGACUGGGAACAGAGGGCAAGGGGCUGGAGGAGGCAGUCCUAGAAGCCAGCCUCCGGGCCUACAGAGCAGGGUGAGAAGGAUACAGAGAGGGUGUGGCCCUGGGUGGGAAAAUGGAAAUAAUCAGUACAAGUACUUACUGCUCAGGGGUGUGGGCUGAAUGGGGUUCCUCCAAAAUUCAUAGGCGGAGGUCCCAGUACCUCAGGAUGUGACUGUGUUUGGAGAUAGCCUCUUUAAAGAGGCAUUUAAGUUAAAAUGAAGUCAUUAGUUUGGGCCGGAAUCCAGUGUGAUGGGGUCAUAGCAGAGGACACGGACUCACACAAAGGGAAGAGCGUGUGAAGCACGGGAGAUGACGGCUGCCUCCAAACCCAGGAGAGAGACCUCCGCAGAAACUAACCCUGCCAACACCUUGAUCUCUGACUUCCAGCCUCCAGAACCGUGAGACAAUAGAUUUCUGUUGUUCAAGCCGUUUGUCCAAGCCAGUCAACAGUGUCAAUAAAUUAUUUAGCGUAUGACAUCAA
ensembl:lncRNA